rnacentral:rRNA from 1 species
GAUGAACGCUGGCGGCGUGCUUAACACAUGCAAGUCGAACGGAAAGGCUCCUGCUUGCCGGGGUACUCGAGUGGCGAACGGGUGAGUAACACGUGGGUGAUCUGCCCUGCACUUCGGGAUAAGCCUGGGAAACUGGGUCUAAUACCGGAUAGGACCACAUUUUGGAUGGUGUGGUGGAAAGUUUUUCGGUGUGGGAUGAGCUCGCGGCCUAUCAGCUUGUUGGUGGGGUAAUGGCCUACCAAGGCGUCGACGGGUAGCCGGCCUGAGAGGGUGUACGGCCACAUUGGGACUGAGAUACGGCCCGGACUCCUACGGGAGGCAGCAGUGGGGAAUAUUGCACAAUGGGCGCAAGCCUGAUGCAGCGACGCCGCGUGGGGGAUGACGGCCUUCGGGUUGUAAACUCCUUUCGCUAGGGACGAAGCGCAAGUGACGGUACCUGGAGAAGAAGCACCGGCUAACUACGUG